AGAGUUUGAUCCUGGCUCAGAACGAACGGUGGCGGUGUGCUUACUACAUGCAAGUCGAGCGGGCCUCGGGGGCAACUCUGGGGUUUAGCGGCGGACGGGUAGUAAAGUAUAGAUGACCUGCCUUCGAAAGGGGGAUAACGCUUCGAAAGGGGUGCUAAUACCGCGUAAAGUCAGGUUCGCGCAUGCGAGUUUGAUGAAAGUGGGGGAGCCCGCGAGGGUCCUCACGCUCGGAGAGGGGUCUAUAUCCUAUUAGCUAGUUGGCGGGGUAAGAGCCCACCAAGGCGAUGAUGGGUAGCCGGCCUGAGAGGGUGUUCGGCCACAUGGGCACUGAGACACGGGCCCGACUCCUACGGGAGGCAGCAGUAGGGAAUAUUGGGCAAUGGGCGAAAGCCUGACCCAGCGACACCGCGUGGAUGACAGAAGGCCUUCGGGUUGUAAAGUCCUAACACACAUUAAGAAAGCUGCGAGGUUAAUAGCUUUGUAGUUUGACAAAGGUGUGAGAUGAAGUCAUGGCUAACUCUGUGCCAGCAGCCGCGGUAAUACAGAGAUGGCAACCGUUGUUCGGAAUCACUGGGCUUAAAGAGCACGUAGGCGGAAUGUUAAGUUGGUUGUGAAAGACCACGGCUUACCCGUGGGAAGUCAGCCAAAACUGGCAUUCUGGAGGUCAGUAGGGGAGAGUGGAAUUCCUGGUGGAGCGGUGAAAUGCGUUGAUAUCAGGAGGAACGCCGGAGGUGAAGACGACUCUCUGGACUGAACCUGACGCUGAGGUGCGAAAGCUAGGGGAGCAAACGGGAUUAGAUACCCCGGUAGUCCUAGCCUAAACGAUGGGUACUAAGUAGGGGGGGUCAUACCUCUCUGCCGGAGCAAAAGUGUUAAGUACCCCGCCUGGGGAGUAUGGUCGCAAGGCUGAAACUCAGAGGAAUUGACGGGGGCUCGCACAAGCGGUGGAGCAUGUGGUUUAAUUCGAAACAACGCGAAGAACCUUACCUGGGCUUGACAUUCUGGGAUUAGCUGCCUGAAAGGGUAGUGACGUUCCUUCGGGAAUGGAACCAGAACAGGUGUUGCAUGGCUGUCGUCAGCUCGUGCCGUGAGGUGUUGGGUUAAGUCCCCUAACGAGCGAAACCUUUGUCCUUAGUUGCCAGCGGGUAAUGCCGGGGACUCUAAGGAGACUGCAGACGUUAAGUCUGAGGAAGGUGGAGACGACGUCAAGUCAUCAUGGCCCUUAUGCCCAGGGCGACACACGUGCUACAAUGUCGGUACAAAGGGAAGCAAGACCGCAAGGUGGAGCAAAUCCCAAAAAGCCGAUCUCAGUUCGGAUUGAGGGCUGCAAUUCGCCCUCAUGAAGCUGGAAUCGCUAGUAAUCGUGGGUCAGCUAUACCACGGUGAAUGUGUUCCCGAGCCUUGUACACACCGCCCGUCAAGCCACCGAAGCAGGGGUAGCCUGAAGUCACUGACCCAACCCGCAAGGGAGGGAGGUGCCCAAGGAAGCUUCUGUGACGGGGACUAAGUCGGAACAAGGUA
rnacentral:rRNA from 1 species